UGUAAUUUCUGAAUAAUAGUAAUAAUAAAAUAUGGAAAAUGGGCUGAUAUUGCCAUAAGGUUAACAUUUGAACAUCAAAUACUGAUAAUGGAAAAAUUGAAAUCUAAAUAUCUGUUUGAAAUAAUCUAGUCUGAUAAGCCUCUAACUGAACUGUCUGAAAAUAGAGUUGAUGGGACAAGUCCCCAACUAACCCUGACUACUGAAAUAAACUGAAUAUUGAAAUACUGAAAUUAUAUGAU
rnacentral:lncRNA from 1 species